rnacentral:rRNA from 1 species
UACGGGGGGGGUAAGCGUUGUUCGGAAUUACUGGGCGUAAAGGGCUCGUAGGCGGCCAACUAAGUCGGACGUGAAAUCCCUCAGCUUAACUGGGGAACUGCGUCCGAUACUGGAUGGCUUGGAUUCGGGAGAGGAAUGCGGAAUUCCAGGUGUAGCGGUGAAAUGCGUAGAUAUCUGGAGGAACACCGGUGGCGAAGGCGGCAUUCUGGACCGACAUUGACGCUGAGGCGCGAAAGCUAGGGGAGCAAACGGG